rnacentral:rRNA from 1 species
UUUGACGUUAGCGACAGAAGAAGCACCGGCUAACUCCGUGCCAGCAGCCGCGGUAAUACGGAGGGUGCGAGCGUUAAUCGGAAUUACUGGGCGUAAAGCGCAUGCAGGUGGUUUGUUAAGUCAGAUGUGAAAGCCCGGGGCUCAACCUCGGAAUUGCAUUUGAAACUGGCAGACUAGAGUACUGUAGAGGGGGGUAGAAUUUCAGGUGUAGCGGUGAAAUGCGUAGAGAUCUGAAGGAAUACCGGUGGCGAAGNUGUCUACUUGGAGGUUGUGGCCUUGAGCCGUGGCUUUCGGAGCUAACGCGUUAAGUAGACCGCCUGGGGAGUACGGUCGCAAGAUUAAACCUCAAAUGAAUUGACGGGGGCCCGCACAAGCGGUGGAGCAUGUGGUUUAAUUCGAUGCAACGCGAAGAACCUUACCUACUCUUGACAUCCAGAGAACUUUCCAGAGAUGGAUUGGUGCCUUCGGGAACUCUGAGACAGGUGCUGCAUGGCUGUCGUCAGCUCGUGUUGUGAAAUGUUGGGUUAAGUCCCGCAACGAGCGCAACCCUUAUCCUUGUUUGCCAGCGAGUAAUGUCGGGAACUCCAGGGAGACUGCCGGUGAUAAACCGGAGGAAGGUGGGGACGACGUCAAGUCAUCAUGGCCCUUACGAG